rnacentral:rRNA from 1 species
UUGGAGGGCAAGUCUGGUGCCAGCAGCCGCGGUAAUUCCAGCUCCAAUAGCGUAUAUUAAAGUUGUUGCAGUUAAAAAGCUCGUAGUUGAAUUUCGGGGUUCUACCGUUGGUCGGGCUAUUGUCUGUACUGGCGUGUAGAAUUUCUACCUUCUGGGGAACUAUCAUGUUAUUAAUUUAGCGUGGUAGGAAACCAGGACCUUUACCUUGAAAAAAUUAGAGUGUUCAAAGCAGGCUUAUGUCUGAAUACAUUAGCAUGGAAUAAUAAAAUAGGACGGUGGUCCUGUUUUGUUGGUUUCUGAAUCACCGUAAUGAUUAAUAGGGAUAGUUGGGGGCAUUAGUAUUCAAUUGUCAGAGGUGAAAUUCUUGGAUUUAUUGAAGACUAACUACUGCGAAAGCAUUUGCCAAGGAUGUUUUCAUUAAUCAAGAACGAAAGUUAGGGGAUCGAAGGCGAUCAGAUACCGUCGUAGUCUUAACCAUAAACUAUGCCGACUAGGGAUCGGACGAUGUUAACUUUUCUUGACUCGUUCGGCGCCUUACGGGAAA